rnacentral:rRNA from 1 species
UAAUACGUAGGGGGCAAGCGUUGUCCGGAAUCAUUGGGCGUAAAGAGCGUGUAGGCGGCCCGGUCAGUCGGUUGUGAAAGUCAGGGGCUCAACCCUUGAAUGCCGACCGAUACUGCCGGGCUAGAGUCCGGAAGAGGCGAGUGGAAUUCCUGGUGUAGCGGUGAAAUGCGCAGAUAUCAGGAGGAACACCAAUGGCGAAGGCAGCUCGCUGGGACGGUACUGACGCUGAGACGCGAAAGCGUGGGGAGCAAACAGGAUUAGAUACCCUGGUAGUCCACGCCGUAAACGAUGGACACUAGGUGUGGGAGGUGUCGACUCCUCCCGUGCCGCAGCUAACGCAUUAAGUGUCCCGCCUGGGGAGUACGGCCGCAAGGCUA